AGUGAACGCUGGCGGUAGGCCUAACACAUGCAAGUCGAACGGCAGCACAGUAAGAGCUUGCUCUUACGGGUGGCGAGUGGCGGACGGGUGAGGAAUACAUCGGAAUCUACUUUUUCGUGGGGGAUAACGUAGGGAAACUUACGCUAAUACCGCAUACGACCUACGGGUGAAAGCAGGGGAUCUUCGGACCUUGCGCGAUUGAAUGAGCCGAUGUCGGAUUAGCUAGUUGGCGGGGUAAAGGCCCACCAAGGCGACGAUCCGUAGCUGGUCUGAGAGGAUGAUCAGCCAACCUGGAACUGAGACACGGUCCAGACUCCGACGGGAGGCAGCAGUGGGGAAAUUUGGAAAAUGGGCGCAAGCCUGAUCCAGCCAUCCCGGGUGGGUGAAGAAGGCCUUCGGGUUGUAAAGCCCUUUUUUUGGGAAAGAAAAGCAGCAGGUUAAUACCCCGCUGUUCUGACGGUACCAAAAGAAUAAGCACCGGCUAACUUCGU
rnacentral:rRNA from 1 species